rnacentral:lncRNA from 1 species
UGCUGGGGUUGCCCCCCUGUGGCUCCCUGAGGGACUCCGUCCGCCGGGCUUCUAGCCUGGGAAAGGAUGACCUUGAAGCCUCUAAUAAACUUAAGACUUAUCCAGCUCCUCUCCUCCCUGACCUUUUGAAGGAGCAACUUUUAUUCAAUGUCGGCCUGAGCCCUCUCAACCCUGCCGGUAUUUUUUCUUUCUCAAGUCAUUUGCUACUUUUUCUUUCUCUUAUUCUGUUUCUAAGCUAU